AGUUUAGACUAACAGAUGAUCAGAUUGAGAUGAUGUCCCAGCGUGUUGCCUCCAUUCUAUCUCAGCAGUUUGUCACUUCAGUCUUUGCUCAGAGAUCGACAUCCCAGGGUGACUCAGAUCAGACUCUGAUCUCUCACAUUUUUACUAUUUUUUAGAUGCUUACUGAUCAGUCAGUAUGCAUUGAGCAGCUUGAGGGAUGUAUUUUGAGAUUGACAGGC
rnacentral:lncRNA from 1 species